rnacentral:lncRNA from 1 species
AGGACUUAUACUGAAAUGAUGAUUAAGGCCAUGGUAUAUGGGGUUUCGGGAGUGAUUCCUAUAUUCAUGAAGUCUAUGGUGCUAAAAUAAUACUGAUGUUUCAAAAAGUUCUCCCAAGUCACCGCAUCCUUACUCAAACCCGUCUUUAAAACCCAAAAACUUUCAGAAUAACACUACUUUCUUUCGCAAAAAAAAAAAAUUUGGUAGGGCUAGAGGAAUUGGGAGAUUAGACUGUACUAAAGAUACACUAUACUGGUGACUCGUCAUACUCAUGCAUUAUCUAAAACACUCAAACUAAAAGCAAAAUGAAAUAAAGUAAAC